GCUAUUGGAGUCCGACUAAGACAUGCGAGUCGAGAGCUUUCGGAGCUCGGCAUACUGCUCAGUAACACGUGGGUAACCUGCCCUAUGCUGGGGGAUAACCUCGGGAAACUGAGAACAAUACCCCAUAGUCCACUACGCCUGGAACGGUGAGUGGAUGAAAGCCCCGGCGGCAUAGGAUGGGCCUGCGGCGUAUCAGGUUGUAGGGGGUGUAAUGUACCCUCUAGCCCUCGACGCGUACGGGUUGUGAGAGCAAUAGCCCGGAGAUGGAUUCUGAGACAAGAAUCCAGGUCCUACGGGACGCAGCAGUCGCGAAACCUUGACAAUGCGGGAAACCGUGAUCAGGGGACUCCAAGUGCCAGGAGUAAGAUCCUGUGCUUUUCAUCUCUCUUCAAAGGAUUUGGAAUAAGAGGUGGGUAAGGACGGUGCCAGCCGCCGCGGUAAUACCGGCGCCUCAAGUGGUAGUCGAUUUUAUUGGGCCUAAAACGUCCGUCGCCGGUCUGGUGCAUUCGUGGGUAAAUCAACCCGCUCAACGGGUUGAAUUCUGCGAGCACGGCCAGACUAGGGACCGGGAGAGGUGUAGGGUACGCUCGGGGUAGGGGUAAAAUCCUGUCAUCCCGAGCGGACCACCUGUUGCGAAGGCGCUACACUAGAACGGAUCCGACGGUCAGGGACGAAGCCUAGGGGCACGAACCGGAUUAGAUACCCGGGUAGUCCUAGGUGUAAACGCUGUGGACUUGGUGUUGGAAGCUCCCAGAGGGCUUUCAGUGCCGUAGCGAAGGUGAUAAGUCCACUGCCUGGGGAGUACGGUCGCAAGGCUGAAACUUAAAGGAAUUGGCGGGGGAACACCGC
rnacentral:rRNA from 1 species